GACGUAGGGGGCCAGCGUUGCUCGGAAUUACUGGGCGUAAAGGGUCCGUAGGCGGUGCGGUAAGUCGGGAGUGAAAUCUCUGGGCUUAACUCAGAGGCUGCUUCCGAAACUACCGUGCUAGAGUGCGAGAGAGGCAAGUGGAAUUGCGGGUGUAGCGGUGAAAUGCGUAGAUAUCCGCAGGAACAUCCGAGGCGAAAGCGGCUUGCUGGACCAGUACUGACGCUCAUGCACGAAAGCGUGGGGAGCAAACAGG
rnacentral:rRNA from 1 species